AGGCUUGUGCAUUCCUUCUCAGGCCACCGCCCCGUCCUCAGCUAAUUUCCUCAGGGCCAACUUCCCUGGGGCUAAAGAAACUGCACCCAGUGGACUGUCAUUUCUUCUGGGCCCUCAGUCCUGGAGCAGCGCUGACAAAGGAGAUUCCUGAGAGAGCGCCUUCUUAUCACAGAAAGUGCUGAGCCAAGAGCUCCAGGCUGCCCCUUUUGCAGAUGUGAAAGGCCAGUGAACCUUAGACCCAGACAGUUGCUUAACACUCCUCUCCCCCUCCCUCAUUCCCUCCUCCCGUCUUGACCUCUCCAUUUGAUUUAAAUCCAUAAGCAUUUGCCUGGCCUUUCCUCUGACUGCCGGCUGAAAAGGAGGAGUGGUCAGGCCAUAGUGCCUGGAGGCUGUGGCUCCCCAGGACUGCCACAGCGGGAAUCUGCUGGAACCCAAGUUCAGGGAAGGGCGAUGCCAAGAAGCUGGUGACGGCUUUCUUCUCCUUCCACCAUGGCUGACGGCAUUAAAUAUGAAGUGGCCUCCCAGCAAGAGGGGGAUGCCUCCCCUUUGGGCGAUGAAGCCAGCUCAGGGUCUGAGCAGGUAAAGCUGAAGAAGGAGAUCUCGCUGCUUAAUGGCGUGUGCCUGAUUGUGGGGAACAUGAUCGGCUCGGGCAUCUUUGUCUCCCCCAAGGGCGUGCUCAUGUACAGUGCCUCUUUUGGCCUCUCCCUGGUCAUCUGGGCUGUUGGGGGCCUCUUCUCCGUCUUUGGGGCCCUUUGUUAUGCGGAAUUGGGCACCACCAUUAAGAAAUCUGGAGCCAGCUAUGCCUACAUCCUCGAGGCCUUCGGGGGAUUCCUUGCCUUCAUCCGACUGUGGACCUCGCUCCUCAUCAUCGAGCCCACCAGCCAGGCCAUUAUUGCCAUCACCUUUGCCAACUACAUGGUGCAGCCCAUCUUCCCGAGCUGCUUUGCCCCCUAUGCGGCUGGGCGCCUGCUGGCUGCUGCCUGUAUCUGUCUCUUAACCUUCAUUAACUGUGCCUAUGUCAAGUGGGGAACACUGGUACAAGAUAUCUUCACCUAUGCUAAAGUCUUGGCAUUGAUCGCCGUCAUCAUUGCAGGCAUCGUUAGACUCGGCCAGGGAGCCUCCACUCACUUUGAGAAUUCUUUUGAGGGUUCAUCAUUUGCAAUGGGGGACAUUGCCCUGGCAUUGUAUUCGGCUCUGUUCUCCUACUCAGGCUGGGACACCCUCAACUAUGUUACUGAAGAGAUCAAGAAUCCCGAGAGGAACCUACCUCUCUCCAUUGGCAUUUCCAUGCCCAUUGUCACCAUCAUCUACAUCUUGACCAAUGUGGCUUAUUACACUGUGCUAGACAUGAGGGACAUCCUGGCCAGUGAUGCUGUUGCUGUGACUUUUGCAGACCAGAUUUUUGGAAUUUUCAAUUGGACAAUUCCAUUGGCGGUUGCAUUAUCCUGCUUUGGUGGCCUCAAUGCCUCCAUUGUGGCUGCUUCUAGGCUUUUCUUUGUGGGCUCAAGAGAAGGCCAUCUCCCGGAUGCCAUCUGCAUGAUUCAUGUUGAGCGGUUCACACCGGUACCUGCUCUGCUCUUCAAUGGUAUCAUGGCACUGAUCUACUUGUGUGUGGAGGACAUCUUUCAGCUCAUUAACUACUACAGCUUCAGCUACUGGUUCUUCGUGGGGCUCUCUAUUGUCGGUCAGCUUUAUCUGCGCUGGAAGGAGCCUAAUCGGCCUCGUCCCCUCAAGCUCAGUCUUUUCUUUCCCAUUGUCUUCUGCCUCUGCACCAUCUUCCUGGUGGCCGUACCGCUUUACAGUGAUACCAUCAACUCCCUCAUCGGCAUUGGCAUUGCUCUCUCGGGCUUGCCCUUUUACUUCCUCAUCAUCAGAGUGCCAGAAAACAAGCGACCUCACUGCCUCCGAAGGAUUGUGGCAUCCACUACAUGGUACCUCCAGGUCCUAUGUAUGUCAGUUGCUGCAGAGAUGGAUUUGGAAGAUGGAAGAGAGAUACCCAAGCAACGAGAUCCCAAGUCUAACUAAACACCAUCUAGAAUUCUAAGAUGCGGAAAGCGGGGGCCUCUUGUCUCUUGCUGGCUGGAGCCAAGGAAGAGAAAAGGAAAGUACACUUCUUUGUUGAAGCUGCUCAGACCAAGCUUCUGGACAGCAGAAUGUCAGCAAAGUGCAAAUGUGGUCCGCUCCUACGUGCAUUCUGCAGUUGACUCACACUCAGCAUGGUCUCCUGCCAACUUGGCCUCUCUGAUUCGAGUGGAAAACUUCUGGAUCUCUGGCAAGUGGUUGUGGAUCUUGGCUGCUUCUCGUUGGCCCUUCACGAUGAGAGGAAACACCAGGCAUCGGGCAAGGACUGUACCUGGAAAACAUACACUAGGACUGAAGUGAAAUUAAAGCAGUUCUGCAGCUAGAAGGCUGAAGGUCUUUAGGUCCUCACUGAAAGACUCUUUCUUAUUCCAGUCUUUUCAACACUGCGACUCUUGCCGGAGGAGCCCAAAACAAAGGGCAGGGGUGACUUAGUUCCUUCAAGGCUUAGUCUUCUGCUUUGAUAUCACAAUGUCUAGCAUUAACUUCUGUAAGCAAAUGGCCAGGAAUACUGUUUAUUUCCUUGAACAAAAGGAAGGUGACAGAAGAUACUUCUCUAGAUCAGUGGUUUCCAAACUCUUCUAUUAUCAAUGGAACCCCCCACCCCCAACUCUUAGGUGUAGCCCCAAUACACGUAACAGAUAAAAUUGAGCUGCUCUGGAUGAGGGGGUAGUCUGGCUACAGAACUGUUCAAGCUCUGGCUUUUUCUUUCCUCAGAGGCACCAUUAUAGAACUCUGGGGCUCCCAGGAAUAAAGUUUGAAAACCACUAUCUUAGAAAUCCCUAAGGUAGGAAGUAAUUUGGUGGCCUACUGCUUUAGCUCCUAUUUCUUUUCUUAUAUUUCCUAUUUCUUGAUAAUUCCAACAAAUACUUUAUCUGUAGACAAGCAAGAGGGUCUGGGCUGAAAAAAGAGGGUGGUGGUAGUGGUAGUUGGGGGGGAUAUGGGCUUAGGCUUUAUCAACAUUAUGAUGGCUGAUGUGGAGUGGAAAGAGAAGGGAAGCUAAGGAUGAAACCGAGAAUACUAGCCCUGAAGGAGGAGACUGAGAACUGGGCAAGGGCAAUGGAAAUGGAAAAAUGUGGUCAGAAAGACUGGAAGAAAAUCAGGAAAGAUGAUCACAAAAGCCAUGGGAUAGAUUUCAAGGUCUAAAGUGUCUAAUACAGGACCUUGGUCCCAAGAGGUCAAAAUGGAGGAGGAGGAAAGAUCGUGAGCUUACAUUCUCUCAAGGAUAUACCAAAAUCUGUAACUACAUAUAUAACUGUCUCUGAGAAAGAACUUCAGAGAGCAGAACAGAUCUUAUACAACUAAGGAUAUAAAGAAAAAGCCAUUCUGAGCUGGAUAGGAGGCAGAGACAUGGUCUAGUCCGGAACCACGAGUGGGAGGGACUUCAUAACCAUAAAGGCUCUCCCUGUGAAAUGAGGGGUCCAAGCCCCAUAUUAGGUUCCCAGGACUGGGGGACCUGCACUGGGAAGACAAGCCCCGUACAACAUCUGGUUUUGAUAACCAGCAAGGCUUAUGUCUGGGAGAGCUGGAGUGCAAUAGGAAACAGACUCUGCUUUUAUUUUUUAUUUAACAAAAAUUUUUUUCCUUAAUGUUUAUUUAUUUUUGAGACAGAGACGAGCGUGAGCAGGGGAGGGGCAGAGAGAGAGGGAGACAGAGAAUCCGAAGCAGGCUCCAGGCUCUGAGCUGUCAGCACAGAGCCUGAUGCAGGGCUCGAACCCACGGACUGUGAGAUCAUGACCUGAGCUGAAGUCGGUCGCUUAACUGACUCAGCCACCCGGGCGCCCCCAGACUCUGCUUUUAAAGGGUACAGCACAAUCUCACUUGCUGAAGGUUCAGUGCAGAGGCAGCAGUCAGAAAAAUGGGCUACACAUGGAAGAGAUCCACAGACUAAUUUUAGGGCAUGUGCUGGCAGGGCAGGGAUCUGUUGGAACAUUCUCUGGGGAUGGAAGAGCUGGUGGGCACCAUUUCUGACAUUCUCCAUCUACUGUGCUAGCACCAGCUUGCUCAGCGCAACUCAUGCACUGGCCAGGAGCCCCUCUUAAGUGGCUCCCUGCCCUCCCCCUCCCACCCAGCAGGUGGCCUCAGUCUGCACCAGAACCACCCCCACCAAGAGGUCCCUGCCCUGACUGCUAGAGCACCUGCAACAGCUGGGCUUGGUAACCAGCUAUGCUGGGGCCAAACCCUCACAUCAGCCCACCCAACAGUAGUAGUAGCUGGGCCUCUCAGACAGGAUGGGGGGCAGCUCUACUUACCAGCACACCUGAAGAAGCUGUGGCUGAGCCUUGUAGACAGCUGUGUCAGGGGACAGCUCUGCAAACCAUUGAGUCUGCACCAACAGAGACCCAGCCACAGGAGAAGGGUACACACCACUCACACAAGGAACCUCUAGGGCACCUGGCUCAGGUUACCGGGGAGUUUGCACUACUGGACCUCACAGGACACCUUCUGCAAAAACUCAUUCCUUCACAACCAGGAGACAGAAGUGAUCUAACUAAUAUAAACACAGAGAGUUUAGGCAAAACGAAGAGCCAGAAAAGUAUGUUCUAAACAAAAGAACAAGACAAAACCUCAGAAAAAGAACUAAACAAAGAAGAGAUAAGCAAUCUACCAGAUACAAGGGUCUAAGUCAUAAACAUACUCACUGAACUCCAAAGAAGAAUGGAUGAACAGAAUUUCAACAGAAACUAUAAAAUAGGGGCCAAUGAGAGCUGAAUACAAUAA